UGGGGAAUUUUUCCGCAAUGGGCGAAAGCCUGACGGAGCAAUGCCGCGUGGAGGUGGAAGGCCUACGGGUCGUCAACUUCUUUUCUCGGAGAAGAAACAAUGACGGUAUCUGAGGAAUAAGCAUCGGCUAACUCUGUCCCAG
rnacentral:rRNA from 1 species